rnacentral:rRNA from 1 species
GGACUACCAGGGUUUCUAAUCCUGUUUGCUCCCCACGCUUUCGCGCCUCAGCGUCAGUAUCGAUCCAGAAAGCCGCCUUCGCCUCUGGUGUUCUUCCUAAUAUCUACGAAUUUCACCUCUACACUAGGAAUUCCGCUUUCCUCUAUCGAUCUCUAGCCACCCAGUAUUAAACGCAAUUCCUAGGUUGAGCCUAGGGCUUUCACGUCUAACUUAAGUGGCCGCCUACGCGCCCUUUACGCCCAGUAAUUCCGAACAACGCUAGCUCCAUCCGUCUUACCGCGGCGGCUGGCAC